UACGAAGGGGGCUAGCGUUGUUCGGAUUUACUGGGCGUAAAGCGCACGUAGGCGGAUCUUUAAGUCAGGGGUGAAAUCCCGAGGCUCAACCUCGGAACUGCCUUUGAUACUGGAGAUCUUGAGUUCGGGAGAGGUGAGUGGAACUGCGAGUGUAGAGGUGAAAUUCGUAGAUAUUCGCAAGAACACCAGUGGCGAAGGCGGCUCACUGGCCCGAUACUGACGCUGAGGUGCGAAAGCGUGGGGAGCAAACAGGG
rnacentral:rRNA from 1 species